rnacentral:rRNA from 1 species
GAUGAACGCUGGCGGCGUGCCUAAUACAUGCAAGUCGAGCGAACUGAUUAGAAGCUUGCUUCUAAGACGUUAGCGGCGGACGGGUGAGUAACACGUGAGCAACCUGCCUGUAAGACUGGGAUAACUUCGGGAAACCGAAGCUAAUACCGGAUAGGAUCUUCUCCUUCAUGGGAGAUGAUUGAAAGAUGGUUUCGGCUAUCAAUUACAGAUGGGCCCGCGGUGCAUUAGCUAGUUGGUGAGGUAACGGCUCACCAAGGCAACGAUGCAUAGCCGACCUGAGAGGGUGAUCGGCCACACUGGGACUGAGACACGGCCCAGACUCCUACGGGAGGCAGCAGUAGGGAAUCUUCCGCAAUGGACGAAAGUCUGACGGAGCAACGCCGCGUGAGUGAUGAAGGCUUUCGGGUCGUAAAACUCUGUUGUUAGGGAAGAACAAGUACAAGAGUAACUGCUUGUACCUUGACGGUACCUAACCAGAAAGCCACGGCUAACUACGUGCCAGCCGCCGCAGUAAUAC